UGUAAUCUGCUAGCAUCACGGCACGACAUCAACAUCGCUCUAACUACAGCCAGAAGACAGUCGAAGAAACUUGUGUGGACUUAUGGAAAGGCUCGGUCUAGGUAUGGAUAAAAGCUGGCGAGACAUUCAACAAUGUCAUCUUCACAGACGAAUCAACCGUGGCCCUUGAGCAAUUGGCUCAAAAUUGCUACAGAAAAAAAGGAAGAAGAUCAAGCAAGCUGAGUCCCAAGCAUCCCCUCAAACUCCAUGUUUGGAGGGCAAUUUCUUGCCAGGGACCAGGCCCAUAUUUGAUUUUUGUUGGUAUCAUGGCUCAAGAUUUCUUUGAGGAAGAAAACAUCAAGAGAUAUGCUGGGCCCUAUGUCAGAGAGACAAUGACCCAAAACACACUGCCGCCCGGGUUUGCAUUGCAGAUGAGGGCAUAAACUGGGUAAGAACGCCA